rnacentral:rRNA from 1 species
GAUGAACGCUGGCGGCGUGCCUAAUACAUGCAAGUCGAGCGAACAGACGAGGAGCUUGCUCCUCUGACGUUAGCGGCGGACGGGUGAGUAACACGUGGAUAACCUACCUAUAAGACUGGGAUAACUUCGGGAAACCGGAGCUAAUACCGGAUAAUAUAUUGAACCGCAUGGUUCAAUAGUGAAAGACGGUUUUGCUGUCACUUAUAGAUGGAUCCGCGCCGCAUUAGCUAGUUGGUAAGGUAACGGCUUACCAAGGCAACGAUGCGUAGCCGACCUGAGAGGGUGAUCGGCCACACUGGAACUGAGACACGGUCCAGACUCCUACGGGAGGCAGCAGUAGGGAAUAUUCCGCAAUGGGCGAAAGCCUGACGGAGCAACGCCGCGUGAGUGAUGAAGGUCUUCGGAUCGUAAAACUCUGUUAUUAGGGAAGAACAAAUGUGUAAGUAACUAUGCACGUCUUGACGGUACCUAAUCAGAAAGACACGGCUAACUACGUG